UCAAGAAACUUCCACAAUGGGCGAAAGCCUGAUGGAGCGACGUCGCGUGAUGGACGAAGUGCUUCGGCACGUAAACAUCUUUUAUGUGGGAUGAAAUUAUUGACAGUACCACAUGAAUAAGGGGCUCCUAACUCUGUGCCAGCAGGAGCGGUAAUACAGAGGCCCCAAGCGUUAUCCGGAAUCACUGGGCGUAAAGGGUGUCGAGGCGGUUGUAUUAGUCGUUCGUAAAAUCUACGAGCUUAACUUGUAGGCGGCGAACGAAACGGUACGACUUGAGGUUUGGAGAGGUGCGUGGAACUCACGGUGUAGGGGUGAAAUCCGUUGAUAUCGUGGGGAACACCAAAGGCGAAGGCAGCGCACUGGCCAAAAUCUGACGCUCACACACGAAAGCUAGGGUAGCGAAGAGGAUUAGAUACCCGAGUAGUCCCUGAGCGGGCUGGCAAGGCGCAU
rnacentral:rRNA from 1 species